UACGAAGGGGGCUAGCGUUGCUCGGAAUCACUGGGCGUAAAGGGUGCGUAGGCGGGUAUUUAAGUCAGGGGUGAAAUCCUGGAGCUCAACUCCAGAACUGCCUUUGAUACUGAGUAUCUUGAGUACGGGAGAGGUGAGUGGAACUGCGAGUGUAGAGGUGAAAUUCGUAGAUAUUCGCAAGAACACCAGUGGCGAAGGCGGCUCACUGGCCCGUUACUGACGCUGAGGCACGAAAGCGUGGGGAGCAA
rnacentral:rRNA from 1 species